rnacentral:rRNA from 1 species
UGCAAGUCGAGCGGAAAGGCCCUUCGGGGUACUCGAGCGGCGAACGGGUGAGUAACACGUGAGCAACCUGCCCCAGGCUUUGGGAUAACCCCGGGAAACCGGGGCUAAUACCGAAUAUGACCUCCGAUCGCAUGGUUGGUGGUGGAAAGUUUUUCGGCUUGGGAUGGGCUCGCGGCCUAUCAGCUUGUUGGUGGGGUGAUGGCCUACCAAGGCGACGACGGGUAGCCGGCCUGAGAGGGCGACCGGCCACACUGGGACUGAGACACGGCCCAGACUCCUACGGGAGGCAGCAGUGGGGAAUAUUGCACAAUGGGCGGAAGCCUGAUGCAGCGACGCCGCGUGAGGGAUGACGGCCUUCGGGUUGUAAACCUCUUUCAGCAGGGACGAAGCGUAAGUGACGGUACCUGCAGAAGAAGCGCCGGCCAACUACGUGCCAGCAGCCGCGGUAAGACGUAGGGCGCGAGCGUUGUCCGGAUUUAUUGGGCGUAAAGAGCUCGUAGGCGGCUUGUCGCGUCGACUGUGAAAACCCGCAGCUCAACUGCGGGCCUGCAGUCGAUACGGGCAGGCUAGAGUUCGGUAGGGGAGACUGGAAUUCCUGGUGUAGCGGUGAAAUGCGCAGAUAUCAGGAGGAACACCGGUGGCGAAGGCGGGUCUCUGGGCCGAUACUGACGCUGAGGAGCGAAAGCGUGGGGAGCGAACAGGAUUAGAUACCCUGGUAGUCCACGCUGUAAACGUUGGGCGCUAGGUGUGGGGGGCCUCUCCGGUUCCCUGUGCCGCAGCUAACGCAUUAAGCGCCCCGCCUGGGGAGUACGGCCGCAAGGCUAAAACUCAAAGGAAUUGACGGG